AGCGAACGCUGGCGGCAGGCCUAACACAUGCAAGUCGAACGAGCUCUUCGGAGUUAGUGGCGGACGGGUGAGUAACACGUGGGAACGUGCCUUUAGGUUCGGAAUAACUCAGGGAAACUUGUGCUAAUACCGAAUGUGCCCUUCGGGGGAAAGAUUUAUCGCCUUUAGAGCGGCCCGCGUCUGAUUAGCUAGUUGGUGAGGUAAAGGCUCACCAAGGCGACGAUCAGUAGCUGGUCUGAGAGGAUGAUCAGCCACAUUGGGACUGAGACACGGCCCAAACUCCUACGGGAGGCAGCAGUGGGGAAUCUUGCGCAAUGGGCGAAAGCCUGACGCAGCCAUGCCGCGUGAAUGAUGAAGGUCUUAGGAUUGUAAAAUUCUUUCACCGGGGACGAUAAUGACGGUACCCGGAGAAGGAGCCCCGGCUAACUUCGUGCCAGCAGCCGCGGUAA
rnacentral:rRNA from 1 species